AGAGGAAUGCUCAACAUCUGAACCAUAUGUUCGCACAUUUGAUCGCUGUGAUGACUUUGUAAAUGAACACGCGAAUGAUGAUAACUGUUUGCGACAUGCGUUGGAGAGUGUCCCGCAACUGCUGGAAAUUGCAAAGAAAUUGAUCUGUAAGGGAAGAAAGAAUAAGUUGGAUAAGAGCUCCGUGUACUACGCAGAAUUUGAAAAAGAAUUGA